rnacentral:rRNA from 1 species
AUUGAACGCUGGCGGCAGGCCUAACACAUGCAAGUCGAGCGGAUGAAGGGAGCUUGCUCCUGGAUUCAGCGGCGGACGGGUGAGUAAUGCCUAGGAAUCUGCCUGGUAGUGGGGGAUAACGUCCGGAAACGGGCGCUAAUACCGCAUACGUCCUGAGGUAGAAAGUGGGGGAUCUUCGGACCUCACGCUAUCAGAUGAGCCUAGGUCGGAUUAGCUAGUUGGUGGGGUAAAGGCCUACCAAGGCGACGAUCCGUAACUGGUCUGAGAGGAUGAUCAGUCACACUGGAACUGAGACACGGUCCAGACUCCUACGGGAGGCAGCAGUGGGGAAUAUUGGACAAUGGGCGAAAGCCUGAUCCAGCCAUGCCGCGUGUGUGAAGAAGGUCUUCGGAUUGUAAAGCACUUUAAGUUGGGAGGAAGGGCAGUAAGUCAAUACCUUGCUGUUUUGACGUUACCAACAGAAUAAGCACCGGCUAACUUCGUG